AUUGAACGCUGGCGGCAGGCCUAACACAUGCAAGUCGAGCGGAUGAAGGGAGCUUGCUCCUGGAUUCAGCGGCGGACGGGUGAGUAAUGCCUAGGAAUCUGCCUGGUAGUGGGGGAUAACGUCCGGAAACGGGCGCUAAUACCGCAUACGUCCUGAGGGAGAAAGUGGGGGCUCUUCGGACCUCACGCUAUCAGAUGAGCCUAGGUCGGAUUAGCUAGUUGGUGGGGUAAAGGCCUACCAAGGCGACGAUCCGUAACUGGUCUGAGAGGAUGAUCAGUCACACUGGAACUGAGACACGGUCCAGACUCCUACGGGAGGCAGCAGUGGGGAAUAUUGGACAAUGGGCGAAAGCCUGAUCCAGCCAUGCCGCGUGUGUGAAGAAGGUCUUCGGAUUGUAAAGCACUUUAAGUUGGGAGGAAGGGCAGUAAGUUAAUACCGUGCUGUUUUGACGUUACCAACAGAAUAAGCACCGGCUAACUACGUG
rnacentral:rRNA from 1 species